rnacentral:rRNA from 1 species
UACGAAGGGGGCUAGCGUUGUUCGGAAUCACUGGGCGUAAAGCGUGCGUAGGCGGUUCGUUAAGUCUGCUGUGAAAGCCCUGGACUCAACCUGGGAACUGCAGUGGAUACUGGCGGACUAGAGUGUGAUAGAGGAUGGUGGAAUUCCCGGUGUAGCGGUGAAAUGCGUAGAGAUCGGGAGGAACACCAGUGGCGAAGGCGGCCAUCUGGAUCAACACUGACGCUGAGGCACGAAAGCGUGGGGAGCAAACAGG